rnacentral:rRNA from 1 species
UGGGGAAUAUUGGACAAUGGGCGAAAGCCUGAUCCAGCCACGCCGCGUGAGUGAUGAAGGCCCUAGGGUUGUAAAGCUCUUUUGUGCGGGAAGAUAAUGACGGUACCGCAAGAAUAAGCCCCGGCUAACUUCGUGCCAGCAGCCGCGGUAAUACGAAGGGGGCUAGCGUUGCUCGGAAUCACUGGGCGUAAAGGGUGCGUAGGCGGGUUUCUAAGUCAGAGGUGAAAGCCUGGAGCUCAACUCCAGAACUGCCUUUGAUACUGGAAGUCUUGAGUUCGGGAGAGGUGAGUGGAACUGCGAGUGUAGAGGUGAAAUUCGUAGAUAUUCGCAAGAACACCAGUGGCGAAGGCGGCUCACUGGCCCGAUACUGACGCUGAGGCACGAAAGCGUGGGGAGCAAACA